ensembl:miRNA MIR26A2 microRNA 26a-2
UUCAAGUAAUCCAGGAUAGGCUGUUUCCGUCUGUGAGGCCUAUUCUUGAUUACUUGUUUC